AAAACAUGUCUUUUUGAUAAAAAUUUAAAGUCAGGUCUGCUCACUGAAUUAUUUAAAGAGCCGCAGUAUAUUGACUGUGCAAAGGUAGCAUAAUCAAUAGUUUUUUAAUUGGAAACUAGAAUGAAAGAUUAGACGAAAAAUUAAUUUUCUUUGUUUUAAUAAAUUUAAUUUUAAAUUUAAGUGAAAAUGCUUAAAUAUAAUUAAAAGACGAGAAGACCCUAUAGAUUUUUAUUGUUGAAAUGAAUUUUUAAAUUUAAUUUAGUAAAAUAAUUUAAUUGGGGCGAUUUUAUAAUAUAGAUAACUUAAUUUUUUAAAACCAUAAAUAAUUGAAUAUUUGAUCUAAAAUUUUUAAAGAAAAGAUUAAAUUACCUUAGGGAUAACAGCGUAAUUUUAUUUAAGAGUUCAUAUCUAUAAUAAAGUUUGCGACCUCGAUGUUGAAUUAAGAUAAUAUAUUGGAGUAGAAAUUAAUAUAAUUAGUCUGUUCGACUAUUAAAUUCUUACGUGAUCUG
rnacentral:rRNA from 1 species